rnacentral:rRNA from 1 species
UAUAGAAGACAUCUGAAGGAGAUUAAAGAUUCAUCGGUGAUGGAUGGGGAUGCGUCUGAUUAGCUUGUUGGCGGGGUAGCGGCCCACCAAGGCGACGAUCAGUAGGGGUUCUGAGAGGAAGGUCCCCCACAUUGGAACUGAGACACGGUCCAAACUCCUACGGGAGGCAGCAGUGAGGAAUAUUGGUCAAUGGGCGAGAGCCUGAACCAGCCAAGUAGCGUGCAGGAUGACGGCCCUAUGGGUUGUAAACUGCUUUCAUAGGGGAAUAAAGUGAGUCUCGUGAGACUUUUUGCAUGUACCCUAUGAAUAAGGACCGGCUAAUUCCGUGCCAGCAGCCGCGGUAAUACGGAAGGUCCGGGCGUUAUCCGGAUUUAUUGGGUUUAAAGGGAGCGUAGGCCGGAGAUUAAGCGUGUUGUGAAAUGUAGAUGCUCAGCGUCUGCACUGCAGCGCGAACUGGUUUCCUUGAGUACGCACAAAGUGGGCGGAAUUCGUGGUGUAGCGGUGAAAUGCUUAGAUAUCACGAAGAACUCCGAUUGCGAAGGCAGCUCACUGGAGCGCAACUGACGCUGAAGCUCGAAAGCGCGGGUAUCGAACAGGAUUAGAUACCCUGGUAGUCCGCGCGGUAAACGAUGGAUGCCCGCUGUUGGUCCGACUAGUUCAGCGGCCAGGCGAAAGCAUUAAGCAUCCCACCUGGGGAGUACGCCGGCAAGGGUGCAACUCAAAGGAAUCGACGC